rnacentral:rRNA from 1 species
CCUACGGGUGGCAGCAGUGGGGAAUAUUGGACAAUGGGCGAAAGCCUGAUCCAGCCAUGCCGCGUGUGUGAAGAAGGCCUUCGGGUUGUAAAGCACUUUCAGGGGGGAAGAAAGCCUUGGGGCUAAUACCCUCGAGGAAGGACAUCACCCACAGAAGAAGCACCGGCUAACUCCGUGCCAGCAGCCGCGGUAAUACGGAGGGUGCGAGCGUUAAUCGGAAUUACUGGGCGUAAAGCGCGCGUAGGCGGUCUGAUAAGCCGGUUGUGAAAGCCCCGGGCUCAACCUGGGAACGGCAUCCGGAACUGUCAGGCUAGAGUGCAGGAGAGGAAGGUAGAAUUCCCGGUGUAGCGGUGAAAUGCGUAGAGAUCGGGAGGAAUACCAGUGGCGAAGGCGGCCUUCUGGACUGACACUGACGCUGAGGUGCGAAAGCGUGGGUAGCAAACAGGAUUAGAUACCCGAGUAGUC